CAUUACAGAGUUCCUGCCCUCACGGGUAGAAACCCCACCCUUGUGUAUAUUAUAUUGUUGCUUUAGCAGGUCGCCCUCCGGGGCGUUGGCCUCGGCUGACCGUGCCUGCUAGAGGAUCCUAAACUUUGAAAUACAGUGUCGUCUGAGUACUAUUUAAUAGUUAAAACUUUCAACAACGGAUCUCUUGGUUCUGGCAUCGAUGAAGAACGCAGCGAAAUGCGAUAAGUAAUGUGAAUUGCAGAAUUCAGUGAAUCAUCGAAUCUUUGAACGCACAUUGCGCCCCUUGGUAUUCCGGGGGGCAUGCCUGUUCGAGCGUCAUUUAGACCAACUCCCGCUCCGGCGGGGUCUUGGGCUUCGCCUCUGGGCGGGCCUUAAAACCAGUGGCGGUGCCCUAAGGCUCUACGCGUAGUAAUUCUUCUCGCGAUAGGGUCCUUGAGGUGUCUUGCCAGAAACCCCCAACUCUCUAGGGUUGACCUCGGAU
rnacentral:rRNA from 1 species